rnacentral:sRNA from 1 species
GACGCUGACGUAAUGGUUGUGUGACAGUCGACCGUCUAACUCAACGUCGAGCGACGCGGGCGAGGGUCGAGACCAGGGUCGACAUCUCGAUCGGCUUCUCGAUGAAGCCGUCCAUGCCCGCCGUCGCGGC